CGAAAAUAGUGGACUUUCUCCUCCUGAUCGGAGCUAGACUUCCUUCUAUGGUGCCUUGCUCACUGUUUGCGUUGCAUCCUGUCUUUUCAUUUUGCUGCAAGAUGGAAGUCUUCUCUGUUCCUCCUUCAGCAUCCCCCACCAUAUGAAUAGUGUCACCUGCCACCAACAAAUUAUCAAAGGAGAAGAUCCUUGGAUCAAAUUGAUAAAUCUCAAUGUAGUACACCCAUCAAGUGCUCUGUGGAUGCCUGCAGUUCAAAUGAGGCCACACCCUCCAAAGGGUUCAACUUUCUCUCCUCUGUCUACUGUGCCCCACUCAUCUGCCCAGAUCUCCUAUGACUCAUCCGCCCAGACAUCAGCUUCAACACAUGCAAGUGCAGGUGACAGAAUGAAGUGGCCCACGAUGUGAGUAUAUGCCACGGGGACACAUGAAAUUUAGAGCCAAGAAGAGCCAAAG
rnacentral:lncRNA from 1 species